rnacentral:rRNA from 1 species
AUUGAACGCUGGCGGCAGGCCUAACACAUGCAAGUCGAACGAGUGGCGGACGGGUGAGUAAUGUCUGGGAAACUGCCUGAUGGAGGGGGAUAACUACUGGAAACGGUAGCUAAUACCGCAUACCAUCGGAUGUUCCCAGAUCGGAUUAGCUAGUAGGUGGGGUAACAGCCCACCUAGGCGACGAGCCCUAGCUGGUCUGAGAGGAUGAUCAUCCACACUGCAACUGUGGCACGGUCCAGACCCCUACGGGAGGCAGCAGUGGGGAAUAUUGCACAAUGGGAGCAAGCCUUGUGCGAACAUGCCGCGUGUAGGGAGAAGGCCUUCGGUGUGUAAAGUACUUUCAGCGAGGAGGCGUUACCCGCAGAAGAAGCACCGGCUAACUCCGUGCCAGCAGCCGCGGUAAUAC